UCCCCACGACACAAGAAAAUCCUUCCCCAAGAUAGCCCCUUUCCUAAUCAAAUCCUUGCUGAUUCGCUCCAUUCCUUACCCCUCGCACACGCCCGCCUCCCUAUAGAUAAUGCCCCCUCCUCCUCAUCCGAUUUUCGCAAAAAUCACGGUCUCCCGAGCCCGUUUCGGCCUGAUCCAAUCUCGCCGGAGUGCGCCGCCGCACGGAGCUUUCACGAGUUGAAUUCCGCCAUUACUAGAGACGCGCACGGUAACGAAGCUACAACUCCUUCCACAUCUCGCCGGACUUUGCCUCGCUCCAGCCGAUCGCCCUCGUCACCACCGCGAGCACUAGAAGCCGCAGACACUACCAUCGCCAUCGCCGAGAUGCGCCGGACCUCGUCGUGUUCCGCCCCGACUCCACGCCUCGCUGGAGGACCACCGAAGGGCCGCCACCAUCAAAGGUCAAACCGCUCGAGCUCUUGGCUCCGUGGCAGGGGCACCCUGCCCGACCCCGCCACCCAGCGCCGCCUCACGCCACACUGGAGCAGCCGCCCCUCCCUACCUCACCGCCGACGCCGGGGAUCGCCAGAUGCCGCCACCUCACCGGCGCCCUCCGCCUCUGUCAACCACCAACGCCCGCCCCCCCUUCGAGAGAGAACCGUCCGGUGUUUCGUUUCCGUGUCUUCACCACACUUCUUCCCGGAGCCUCCAUCACCCCCAGGCAAGCCACAACAGACACUUGCCUUGGUUUUCAACUUGAAUAUUUGAUAAAAGUUUGCCCGUUAUCUGCCUUCUUGUUUGCUUCUACUGUCGUUGUUUCGGUUUUACUCGUGGACUCGUGUCCACAUUCUUGCUAUGUUGUGAUGCAUCAUGAUAUCUUGUGCUACUUGUUAGUAUCAUUUUCACAUGUCAUGCUUGUUGGUAGUAGUAAUACAUGCU